rnacentral:rRNA from 1 species
GAAUUUUGGACAAUGGGCGAAAGCCUGAUCCCGCAAUGCCGCGAGCAGGAUGAAGGCCUUCGGGUUGUAAACUGCUUUUGUACGGAACGAAAAGCUUUGGGUUAAUACCCUGGUGUCAUCACGGUACCGUAAGAAUAGGCACCGGCUAACUACGUGCCAGCAGCCGCGGAAAGACGUAGGGUGCAAGCGUUCAUCGGAAGUACUGGGCGUAAAGCGUGCGCAGGCGGUUUUGUAAGACAGAGGUGAAAUCCCCGGGCUCAACCUGGGAACUGCCGUUGUGACUUCAAGGCUAGAGUACGGCAGAGGGGGGUGGAAUUCCGCGUGUAGCAGUGAAAUGCGUAGAUAUGCGGAGGAACACCGAUGGCGAAGGCAACCCCCUGGGCCUGUACUGACGCUCAUGCACGAAAGCGUGGGGAGCAAACA